CAUCCCCUGUGUGGGCAAGCCUAGCUUUUAUUGCCAUGGAAGCAACUGGCAAGGGUGUAAGUCCCAGACAACGAGAUCUGUAGCCUCUCCAGCUGCAUGCAGUUGUAUGUGUGCCUUUGUAGGCAAAUACUUCAGUGAUGGGAAGUCAUUUAAAAAAAAAUGUAAUUUGGAGAACUAGUGCCUGCUAAACAGAGGUUAUAUAAAUUAUUAAUUUCUGUGAAAUUCAUCAGAAAGUACCAGUAAUUUGCAAAUGGUAUUUCCUAAUUGAAGAUGGUCUGACCUGUUUCUCAAUGCUGCUCCUGGAAGCCCAAGCAAGCAAUGUUAAUUUCCUGCCCCACCUCCACCUUCAAUAAAGUAUAUGGCAAAUAGAGCAUUUAAUCAGUGUCGCUGGUUGUAUAGGUCUGUGACUAGCAUUUCACAAAGUGCUUCUUCAAGGACAUAGAAGUUAUUACUCAUUGCUGAAGUGAAUUGAUUCUACCUUUUAUAAGCCUACAGGAUACACAGGGUUGACAGGAAUCCUGUCAAUUCUUAACCCUCCUUUCUUCCUGUUAUGGAGGCUGUGGUUGUUUUAACAAGGCACGACACAAAUGAGUUGUUGUACCUCAACGAUGUUCAGAAGGGGAAAAAACUCAAGGCCAUUAUCUUCUUAUAAAACAUUACCUCACUCCAGCACCAAAACAUGCAUGUUACACCUCCGGUGGACAAAGUUGAGGACAGGCAAACAGACAGGACCACUCCAUCUCAAUUGACUCAUGUAUAAAUUAUUUGCUUGUCUUCUGCUUCAGUGAUUAUACAAUUUUCUCUCAUGUUAUUUGCAAUUUCUCAGCCUACUGUGAGAAACAUGCCUGGUAGCCUAUUAAUCUAGCCGAAGGUCAGUUAUGCUGAUUAAAGCUAUUUUUUUAACAGGAAGUCAGCUGCUUGCUUGGAAGGCAAAAAUGAUGAUGUCUAAUAUUGUUCUUUGACUUUUACUGUUUCAAUAGAUAUAUCAGAAAACUGUUUUGUUUUUUUUUAAUCCUGUCCCAGACCUUUCCAUUGAAGAAGCUCUUUAAACAUCUCAGCAUAGAGGAUAUAGAUAAUAAAAGUAGUUUUGUUUAUUCAUUUUUUCCUAAGAUGCUUCUUCUGGGAACUCUUUCCUCCCUCCUCCUCACUCCUUAUCUCUCACAGGUGAUGGGCCUCUUCAGACUGGGAGAGUUUUGGGAGAUAUUCUGUUAAUGUGAAGUACUUUAUUAAAAAAUCUGAAAUUUAAAGGCAAUUCUGUGACAAAAAAAGUGAACUUUAGACCAAAUUUUCAAAGUAAUCAGAUUGAAGCACUUAUAUUAAAAAAUUACACAAUGACUUUCUGAGAUGUGAAAAUGCUUAGAUUGGAAGGAGGAUCAAAGAAAUUAUGGACCAUUCUUUAAACGUCUGCUUUGUUCAUGAAUAUUCCCUGGAAACACGAGAAGGCUUCAGGGAAGGAUGUAGAUGUGGGCAGUUUCUUGCUUACAUAUGCACUGCUUAUAAUUAAUUUUGUCAAAGUGUUUGUUAUUUCAUGGAUUUAAAAAAAAAGAAAACUGAGUCAAAAAUGUAUUGUGUGACCUGCCCUUAGGUUCAUGAUUUCUAAUUUUUUAUUUUAUUUGUGGUUGCUUUAUUCCUUGAUGAAUUUAAAAGUUUUAAAUUUAAUGGUUAGCUUUGAUUUUUUUUGUAUAUUUACUUUUUUAUAAUGUUAUUUAAAAAUCAGCAUUCUUUUUUGAUAUGGGAAGUAUAUUAUAAUACUUAAUGUUUUGUAUCUCCAAUUGUAAAAAUGUAUUUUUGACUCCUAAAUUGAUUUCAAGCAUUUGUCUUAAAAUACUGUUGGGGGGGCAUGUCAAAUUAGAAGUCAAUAUUAAAAAGGUCCCAUUUCCACUGUGUGUUCUCGAAGCACAGAAAGUUCUUACCUUUUGCUUUUUGAGUGACAGUCUUUGUUUUUUUGUUAUGGUUUUUUUUUGUUGUUUUUUGGGGUUUUUUUUUUUUGGUAAUUACCUAAAUAAUGAGGUUAGCUGAUCUACUCUCAGCCAUUGGCUUUUCCUCAUUUAGUUAAUGCAAUAUUUGUUUCACCUUGAAGUCAUUUCAGCUGUUAUAUAAAUGGCUUAGCAUUUUGAUAUAUAGAGUUUUAAGUUUCCUAUAAUUUAAAAACAAUCAAACCCAAUCUAUUUUUAAUGAGUCUAAAAUUCCUGGAGAAAAAGGGAAAUGAGAAUGAUUCCCCUUUUUACUUGUUCACUUCUGUAUUUUCAUCCAUAGUGAGUAUUUACUUAAUGGUGGAUGGAUUUGGAUUCUUCUAUAGGUAUUUUUCUAAAUGUCACUUGCUGCAAAUGUCCUUGCACAGACGUUGAAGUUGAAACUUCAUUAAACAAAAACCACAAAUAUUUCAUUAACAAAAUUUAUAGCUUCAUGGAAAGAUUAAUCUUUCUUGGCCUCAGUUGUUGAUCUUUAAGUUAAAGACUUGCCAAUUCCCUGAGAACUUCCGGUACUCUUGUUGUAUCUCACAUUAAAGAUCACAGUAGUAGAGUCAUUGCUGGUGUGUUGGAUUCAUCACAGAACAACCAUUUAAAAGGAAGGGGUGGUCAUACAGCCCUACUAAAAUGUGUUGACCAAGAGGACCAAGACCCACUAUCUAUUUUCAAGGGGCUCAUAGUCUGGCAGGGACACAGUCACAUGAACUCAAAGUACAAUAUGGUAACUACUUUCAUGAAGUUGCAUGUACUGGGGCUAGUCAAGGGAAAAGAAAGAGUGCCAACCCACCUGGAGCACCAGCCCCUUCUCAGAAAAGAGAACACGUGCAGAGAGCUGAAAAACCUUCAUGUGUUUUUUAUACCAACUUCAGGGGAGCCCAAGGAAUUGAGACUUUCCUGGAAAGGAUCUAUGACUCCCAAAAUACCUUGAACAAUUUCUGGUUGAUGAAAUUCAAGACCUAGUGCUUCAGAACUUUAAGGUUUUCAUUCCUGUUAAAAAUAUGGUUUUGAUGGUGCUAAUAUUUCAAGUUUCAAAAAUUCACAUCUCUGUGUGGACAAGCUUCAGGUAUUUUUUCUGAGCAUAUUUUCAUAGUAUAAGGGGAAAAAAAUACUAGCUACAAUGGAGGGCAUUCUAGAGGAGGAUGAAUACUGGUCACAGAAAGAAAACUGAUGGUACAGGUUGAGAAUCCAAAAUUCCAAACUCCAAAAUGCCCCCAAAUUUAAAACUUUUUCAGUGCCAACAUGAUGGAUGCAACAGAAUAAAAGUUCUACACCUGACCUCAUGUGAUAGGCUGCAGUCAAGGCAGACCAAAAUAUUGCAUUAAAAUUACCUUCAGGCUAUACAUAUUGUAUAAAAAAAAACACAAAUGAUUUCAUGUUUUUACUUGGGUCCCACAGCCAAGAUAUUAUUUAUGAGCAGCUAUUUCAAAAUCCAAAAAAUUCAAAAUUGGAAACAUUUUUGUUCUCAAGAAUUUUGUAUAAAUGACACUCAUCCUGUACCAGAACAAUCGUGAGUGGUUUAAAAGUUCUGAAGAUCUUUUAUGCCUAUGUGCUGUGCAUCUAAGGACCUCCUCAAUUUGUGUUCCCUUCCUCUUCUUUGUUCAACCUCCCUACUUCCUCUUGCCUCUUCAAACCUAUUGUAUACUUCUUUCACUAAAAUUGAAUAGGGGUAGUGAGUUAUCAAAAGCUUCCACUCAAGAAAAAUUCUACCUGUUGUUUGUUUCUAAUGUGUUUUCACUAAGGUGGAGUGAAGCAUCAGGUGUUCAACCAUGGAGAAGCCAAAUGAAGCUCCUAGGGAGUUUGAUUCAGGGAAAUGUUGGCUACUGGGAGGGAAGUUUAGCUAUCUCAGUCCACCCAUGAGGACUGGCCUUUGUCACUCCCUUAGAGGACAUCUGUAACAUCAUAUCCUUGAUUUUAAUAAAGAUCUAUUUAAAAAAAAUAAAUACUGGGGUGGGGAUAUGGCUCAAGCAGUAGCGCGCUCGCCUGGCAUGCCUGCAGCCCUGGUUCGAUCCUCAGCAAUACAAUACAAUAUAAUAGGAUACAAUAAUAGAGACUUCAUGAAGGUUUUUUAAAGGAUUAUGUGGGUUAAUUCACAUACAAACAAAGAUGUUGUGUCUGCCGAAAACUAAAAAAUAAAUAUUAAAAAAAUUCUCUCUCUCUCUCUCUCUCUCUUUAAAAAAAUAAAUAAAAAUAAAAAAAUAAAUACUACUAUGACAUUACUUCAGAUUUUUUGAUCUGUGUAGAAUGACACUGCAAAGGAAGAUCUUGGCUGACCAAAGAUAAGUCGUUUCAAAGAUUUUCAUGGAUGUGAAUAAAAAUGACAACUUGGCAGCCAGAGAUCUCAUCCAUAAAAGACUGGAGAUAUUCAGAUCAAGGCCCCAAACCCAUUCAAAACGGAUUAUUGCCCUAAAUGACUCUGAGGUCUUUUUGAACUUUAAGAGUGUUCAAGUUGAUGAAGUGUCUCACCAGAUAGAUGAACAGGCCAUGACUAGGGGCUGUUGAAUCAGCAAGGAUGACCAAAUGUGCUUUCAGCAAAGGGUACAUACUUCGUUUGAUAUGGAGGUCUGUCUCCUUUCUAGUUCUCUAUGUACUGAAAUUGCAAGAAAGUAACCUUUAUUACACACAUAUAUAUAAUAUAAUAUGUAUAUGUAUAUAUAUAACACAUGUAUAUAUAUACAUAUAUGUAUUAUAUAUGUAUAUUUUUUUUCACAAACUUCAGUUUCCUCCUCUAUCGAGUAAGUAUAAUAGUAGAGCCAGGUAUCUGGUCACACCUGAAAUCCCAACUAUUCAGGAGGCUGAGGCAGAAGGAGCAGAAAUUUGAGGCCAGCCUGAGUGAGACCCUGUCUCAAAAGAAAAAUAAAAAGGGUUGGGAAUGUAGCUCGGUAGUAGAAACUAGCCCAGCAUGUAUGAACCAUUAGGUAAAAUUUCCAGUAUCCCCCCACAAAAAAAAAAGGAUACAAUAAUAGAGACUUCAUGAAGGUUUUUUAAAGGAUUAUGUGGGUUAAUUCACAUGAAGCACAAUAGUGUCUGGAACAUAGGAGGCACAAAGUAAAUAUUGGCUGGUAUUAGUAGUGUUAUUAUUAUAUUUUUAGAAUAUUUAAGCUGCUCUUCUUCUCAUAGGUAGAAGAGCUCUGCAGUGGCUUUACAGUGCAGGCAGGAGAGGACAGGCUUUGCUGAAACUCUAGUUAUAUUCUUAGUGCCAGUUUACACUUUCUUUCAAGAGGAAAGAAUAUAAAAGAAACAGAAGAAACAAACUCUGUCCCCAGCCCUCAUUCUUUCAAAUAACUGUGAAUUUUAAUAGAUUUCAACAUCUAAGCCUUUUAGAAUUUGUCCAAAUAUAAAAAUUCUUAGGUGAGAUUUCAGUAAUUGUAACCCAUUCAUUUGUUCUUGAUUAUAGGCAAACAUCUUGAUAUAAAAUAAAGAACAUCCCUAAAAAGUUGAGCUUAAAUUAAAUUUUGGUCAAAGAUCUCAGUAUAAUAAGGCAAUAACUCUUAGAAAAAGAGUUUGGCCCUUUUUUAAUGUCUUCCUUGAGUGACCCUGAGGCCUCAGUUGGCUGAUAGGAGUACAGUGAUGCUGUAGCCAAGUAUAUUAAGAUUACUAAUUAAUAUUGAGACGGCUAUAGCUUAGAGCUGAGAUAAAGGAAUUCUAACUCCUUUUGUCUUUGGUCUUCAAACUAGAGUUUCCAUUCCUUGUACCGGUCAGUUAUUGGCCUCUGUUUCAUUCUCAUUUAUUUUUCAUUCUCUGCCUAGUUUUUUUUCUGAAGCAGAAACACAAAUGGAACCUAUUUUCCCAAAUGGUUGUUUAUAUCCAGUUUUGAUUUGGACAGCCAAAUGGCCUCUCUGCAUGGUCCACAUCAUUCUUGCCUUUCUUGUUCACAGCUGCACAGUUCUCUUGGCACAUUGAAUAGUCCUGGGGAGGCAUGAUGUCCCAUAGCUGUCUGUGGCAGGCUGCUUUUGCCUUGUUAGGCAAUGUAAGUGCUUGCUGUACCACUUUGUAAUUUGUGUCACUUGAAUACAAGUGGGAAGACUUUAGGCGAAUUUUCAGAGAAAAAAUAUAAAACAAAGUCUUUGAAAAUGUGAGAACAUAAUACAUGCUUAGCAGAUAGCAUUGUCAUUGGUGAUUUGUAUAUAAUUAUUAUUCUGGUUUAGGUGGUACUUAAGUUCUUUGUCCGGGAUGAGAAGAUUCAUUUGUAUACAUCAUCAUUACCCUUCCUGACAUGUGCUUUGGUGACAUUAAUCUGUGUUUUAUUUCCUGCAGCAGUAAUGAUGGGGUUGCCUUCCGUGGCUUUAUUAUGUUGUCAUGUGUUUUUUUUUUUUCUCAGCGAUCAUUCUCGAAAUACAAAAGAAAUAUCUCAUGUGGGGAUAAACUCCAAAAUAGCUGACAUUUAACAGUCAUGCUGGCAAGCAUCUAGUUUUCUUCCACUUCAUUCUUUUUUCCUGUCAAGCUGAGUCCUGGGGAAUUAUUGACUGUGGUCAGACUGAUAGUUGUUUGUAAUUUUAUGACAGAAAACAUUUCCAAGGUGGAGGUUGUUUCUAAAGACUAGAUAGCUUGCACAGGGGUAGGCUGGACGGGACAUCAAUUCACACCUGCAAAUGAUUAACUGAUUUGAGGGAAGCUUGAGGGUGGGGGAAGAGUGAAUUGCUAGGUUACUCUGCUAAAGGUGCAGUCGGUGGCCUUUAUAGUUGUUGGUCAAAUUCUAAACCUGAUGAUAGAAGUCCAAAUGGGAAAAAAGUGUACCAGGCUCUGUUUGAAGGACAGCAGGGAUUAGUUUAGCAGUAGAGAUCUAGUCAUAGAAUUUUAAAGCUAUAGUUUAAAAGAAAAAAGUUAUCUUCAAUCACUUUUAUUUGCAUUUUUGCAAUAGCAGAAUGAACUAUGUGGGCAUGGCAUCCAUAAACAGAAUAUUGGCAUAUGAUGACAAUCAGGGCUAUACUUUGUACUUUACUUCAAUGGGCUCUGGUAACAGCCGCAUAUACAAAACACAUUAAAGACAGGGGAUGAUGACUGAAAUCGACCUGUAUUGUUUAUUAAUUUGUGAGGUGUUUUAAUAAAGCCAGUCUCCAGGGCAGAAUCAAUCUGUGAAACCACUGUAUAUUGCCUAUGUUCCUGUUAAGGCUUUUAACACAUUACUUUACAGUUGUGUGUUUCCCUGUCUGUGUCCUUCAAAUAAAUGUGAGUUCUGGAGGGCAGAGAUCUUGCCUCAUUUCUCUCUGAUAACCCAGCGUUAGCACAGAAUGGUACUAGUAGAAUUUAGUAAAUUGAAUUGAAAUGAAUGUCUCAUCUAUAUUCUGAAGGAUUUAAGCAGAUGUUUGGUUAUGAAUUUUAAAUUAUAGAAUACACACUGUAAAAUUAAAAAUAAGAGGAAAGUAUGAAAGGAGAUGAUAGGAAAUGAAUACUACAGACAUACCUCAAGCCUCUGCCCCUGGCCCUUCCCUGUCAGCUCCUUGACUGAGCUGUUGGGGCUUUGGCCCUCAUAGCCACUCUGACCUGGGGAAAUGAAAUCAUUGUCAAAGGUGUAUAGCAGGACUCCUCCUCCAAGCCAGGUAAAUUGCCUGCCUUCACAAUCUCCUUGUUGGCUGUUAUACCUUGACACAUGAUAUCAAGUAAAGCUCACACUAAGCAAGCAAAAAGUUUCCCCAAGUUCAGAAAAACCUGUAUCUCAAAGUAGACUGUGAUCAUGGAAAGAGCAAAAACAUGGUGACCUAAUUUUGACAUUUUUUUAGUUCUUUAUAUGCCAGGUAAUAAGCUAAGUGUAAUACCAAUAUUAUCUCACUUUUUUUCUUAACCACCCUAUAGGGUAGGUAAUGUUAGCUUCCUUUUAUAGAUGAGGAAAUGAGACAGAAAUAACUUGCCCAAGGUCAAGAUAUUGCUGGGGGGAGCCAGGAUCAGCUCAGACAAUUUGGCUACAGAAUUGACACCCUUUUUGUUCUAUCACGUUUGCUAACUUGAGGACUUCUAGGCACAGAAUUCCUUCAAAACUAAGCUUAUAAACACUGAAGUCCUAGCAAUUGCUGGUUCAAAACCUCUGUUUCCACUGAGCCCUGCUAUCUACUAGAUGGCAAAGGAAAGACAGAGUAAACCCAACACACCUGUCCUGAGUAGCUUUCCACUGAGUAGGGAGAUUGUAUGGGGCAGAGUUACCUGGUGUCAUAGGAGAGGCUCAAUCUCAGUACAGUAGGGAUCAGUGAAAAGCAGAGCUCACAUUUAGAUGAGAAGGGAGAUAAGACUGUGGAGACUGGAACCUUGGAGAAGGGAUUUGAAGGACCGGUACUGCUGAGGGUGAGUCAGUAGGGGCUACAUCUUAGGUACAAGGAAAAAGUCAGCAGCAAUAUUUAAAUAAGACGGAGCAAAGGGCUUAAUGGAGGAAGCUAUACACAACAAUGGCGGAUGUGGGUUUGGAUGCAAGACAAAGAUGUGUGUGCUUAAUUUAGACGAGGGAGAAUCCACAGAAAAUUUUGAAUAGGGAAAUAAAUGCUUUAAAAUGAAGGAAGGACAGAAUAGGAAUAAGGAUCUAACCCAGGGCUGUCAAGGGGUUAGGAAUAGGGUGGAGACAAUCUAAGAGAAAAAUAAGAGAUAAAUAUAAAUGACUGAUUAAAUUCAUGAAGUACCAACACAAGAAGAGAGACUGGACUGGGGCUGUAGCUUAGUGGCAGAAUACUUGCCUAGUAUGUGUGAGGGACCGGGUCUAAUCCACAGAACACAUUUAAAAAAAUAAAUAAAUAAAGGCAUGCUGUCCAUCUUCAAUUAUAAAAAUAUUUUUUUAAAAAGAUAGACCAUUUUCCAGUUGUGGAUUAUGCAUUAAUGAAUCUGAAGAAAGUGAAGUGGUAUUCCAUGCCAUCUUACAAUGGGUGGUUAUUUGGGUGAUCUUUAGAUCUCAAAGUUUUUAUAAAAUUUCACAACCUGACAUCUGGCCACAGUCAUAAAAAUGCCCCAGGCUACCUCCAGGAGCAAAAAGGAUGCAGAAAAAACAUUGAAAUAUGUUUGAAAUUAAACAAAUGUACAGAAUACUUUUAGUGUGUAAGCUUCAUUGUAUAUGCAUUUUUAUCCCAAAUUAAUUUCAAAAAACUCAUCUAUUUUCUUUCUUUCUGGUACUUCCAAACCAAGUACAUUUUGGAAAUGUAUUAUUUUCACAGAUCUCAUAAAUUUUCUAUUUUAUUCCUACAAUAAAAUAAAUGGGAAAGUUUUAUUUAGUUUCUAGGUUUGAGGAGAAAUAAUAGAAUUUUUAUGCAUCAAAGAGCAUUUUUUCAUUUCUUAGUAUUGUUUUAGGAAUUUAACAACAAAAAGACAAAUGUAAAGCAAUUAGAAAAGAUCAUGUGCAUAUCAGACUCGGGUUGAUUUGAUUAUUUUUGAACUGAUUUUUUAAUAGGUCACAUGGUUAAUGGGCAGGCUCUGAGGGCAGAGAAGGCUUGGGUUCAAAUCCCAGGUCUGCCCCUUAUUAAUUCUGUGACCUCAGUCAAGUUCUUAGUUAACCUUCAUAACCUCAGUUAUUAUCUGGUGAUAAUAAAUAUAUCAUGUGAUAUUAAGACUUUACAUACAAGAUGAAGUACGAUAAUGCAUAGUGCCUAGCUAUAAGAGCUCAAUAAAGCUUAACCAUCUCCACUACUACCAUGUUGCCAUCACCCACUAUCACCCCUACCAUCAUCAUUGCCACUAUUACUGAGGCUCUAAUUGCUGGCUUAAUAUCUACAAUAAAAAUGGUGAUGUAAAAACCAGGUACUUAUCAGAAAAAAAGCUUCUUAUCAAAUGAAAACUUUCCGCACUAAUUCUAAUAUCCAAGUCAGUGGAACACUGUGUCCUAGCCAGAAUUUUCUAGAGACUAGCCUAAAGCAAGGAAUGAACUACUAAUAAUUUAUUAGGCAUAUACAAAUCCAGGUCAACAAGGUGAGGAAAAAGGGAAGGGACAAGUGUUGCACGAUUGCACUUAUGAAAGCUGUAUAACUCAUAGGCACACAAAUUAAACCAGUGGGUUGCCAAGGGACUGGAGCAGGGGAAAUAAGUAGUCGGUUUUCAGUGGGCAUGGAGUUUUAGUUUUGCAAGAUGAAAACAUUCUAGAGGUCUGUCCCACAACAUUGGCAACAAUGUGAAUAUACCCAGCAGUCUUGGACUGUACACUUACAUAUGGUUAACAUGGGGAAGAUACGUGUUAUGUGUGUUUUACCACAAUUUUUAAAAGGUGGGGAGAAGGAGUCAAGGGAAGAAGUAAAGAGUGGGAGGUGAUGGUUCCAGAGCCGGUUUUACUGCUUCAUCGGGUCACCAAGGAACAUGGCAAUUCCUUGGCAACUGCAUCCAUUUGCCAUGUGGAAAAUUUCUGGAUAGUUUGGGAAAAAAUAACUGUGCUUCAGAGCAGUGCCUAAGACAGGGCGAGGACACUUUCUGCUCAGCUUCCUCCUGUCUCUUGGGUCAGAAUUUAUUCCUCAGAGAGUUAAUUCUGCCACAUUUCUGAGAUUCACUGGGCCUCCCCAGCUGUUAUGUGGGAUGCCAGCUCUCACAUCUAUGAACAGCAGGGGAAGCCAGAAACUCCAGGUGGGUGACUGAUAGGUCCAAUUGCCCAGCAGCAGCUGCAAGGGAAAAUUCAACAUUCCCAGAGCAGGUGAUGCUAGUGGUGGAAACUUAGCCCCCUAGUGGGAAGAAGCAUGGCCAAGGGAAUAUGAAGAUGUACAUAGAUUUCUGUUUGAUACACACCACUAUUCCUUUAAAAAAAAAUUUUUUUUUGUAGUUGUAGAUGGACAGAAUGCCUUUAUUUUAUUUCUUUUUAUGUGGUGCUAAGGAUCGAACCCAGUGCCUCACACAUGCUAGCAAAGUGCUCUGCCACUGAGCUGUAGCUGCAGCCCACCAUUGUUCCUUUUUUGUGGUGAUAGAGAAUCAUUACUAUCAUAAUCUACCUUUUAUUUUUUUCUGAUAUAAAAGCACUGCUGUUAGUCAUGGUGCUUCCCAUUAGAAAAUACUGAGUGGUUAUUACUUGUCAGAGCAUGAUUUUAAGUUUGUUCUUAACUGUCUUUGCCCUGUUUGUCUCUAGAAAGAAAAUUUUAUCAGCUCUAGCUAAAUUGUCCUCACACAAUGCAUUGAGAGAAAGCAAUUGUAGGAGAUUUCAUAUUUCUAAAAAAUAUUAAAGGCUUAGUUUUUCAUAGCCUUUCAAUGUAUUCUAGGAAGAAUCAUUGCAAUGUGCUCUCAAUUCCUACUCUAGGUUUUUGGGGUUUUUUUAAUAGGACAAAAUCUUGGUGAAGUUUAUGGAUUCUAUUUUGCUUUCUUUUGUCUUACUGCAAUCAUUACUAUGUUUGGAAAAUCAGAUCAGUCAACAUUUCUUGGGAAAAAAAUAACAAUGUAUUGACAUUUUAGAAAAUGUGAAAAAUAUACUUGUUUGCCUCUUCAUAAAUGGUAGCAUAGUUUUUCAUGUAGGGAAAUGAAUUUUGUCUCAUACCUGCAGACCACAUUCCUGUGACAACUGAGUAGAUGAAAGGGUGUCAGAAUGAGGCAGACAGAAUCAGGGAGGAUGCCUUCCCCAAGUCCUGGGAGACAGAAUUACUUCCAGGCACAGCUGGGCUUUCUACCCUUAGUACCUUCUACCCUCUACUGCCAUUUCCCCUACAUGAAGAUGAGGAUUCCCUCAGAAUGAUUUUGGUUUGAAAAGUCAAGAGAAUUCUACAUUAUUUUACUUAUUCUGGAAUAAUGACAUAUAAACCUGGGCAUUAAAGGUCAGUGGUUUAGACAAUAUUGUGCACUCAGAUCUCUUGAACUAUGUUUCAUUGCUGUGUCCAAAAUACCUAAUGAUUUAGAGGAGGAAAGUGUAUUUUGACUCACGGUGUCAGAGGUUCAGUCCAUGGUUGACCAACUUCACUUCUCUGGGCCUCAGGUAAAGGCAGAACAUCAUGGUAGAAGGCAUGACAGAGGAAAGCUGUUUGCCUCAUGUCAUCCAGAAAGCAGAGAGAGCAAGCAAAUGAGCCACAGAGAAGACAAAACCUUCCAAGACAUGCCCCAGUGACAUGUUUCCUCCAGCCAUGUCCUCCCUAGCCACCCAGUUAGUCCAUUCAAAUUAUUAUCAAAUGGAUUAAUUCACCAAUUAGGUCAUAGCUCUUAUAAUCUAAUCAUUUUGUCUCUGAACAAUUUUUGUGUUAACACAGGAGCUUUUAACAGAUAACUCAUAUUCAAACUGUAACACGCUCCUACCCUGAAUACGUAGUAUGGUGACAGCUUUCUCUCUCUUGCUGGGAGUUUUGAUGGGCCAUAAAAACUGCACUGGGAUAGAACAUUUUGUCUCACUAUCUACACCAGGGCUUAAUUCAGUAGUAUUCUAUGUGUGCAUGUGUAGCUAUUCCCUUACAUAUAAUACCUAGGAAACUCUCCAGUGUGAUUAUGCACCUUGGGAAAGGAAGCAGAAACAUAAUACUUAUGAAUGUCUCAUGAGCAUAUGGUAUUGUUUCAAUUUUUGAUAUUCUAGAAUACAAUUUGAAUCUCAGAAUAUUUUCAGUUUUACGUUAACAUUUGUUUUUCAGAUUCUUUUUUUAAAAAAAUUCUUUGCAGCUAGAGUAUUAUUGGAUGAACACCAGAUGUUUACAUCCAUCAGUUUUUUGGUUUUUUUUUGUCCAAAGUAAAAAUAAAACUAUUCUGAAAAUUCUCAACAGACAAUAAUUAUUUACCAGAAAGUUGUCACGUAAGCUCUAAGGAGCUAUUAGGAGUCAGAGUAAGAGGAGAGGCAUUUAUGGUGGUUGGAUUUGAUGAUCUAUAUUUUUAAACAUCAGAAAGAGGAAGAAAAAACAAACCAUGUUUAUUCAAGGAAAUAGUCUAGGCAUGGUAUUCAAAUGUAAGUUGAGUGCAUUGCUGCACCAACAGUAAGUAGUAUUUUUUCACUCACCAUAAAAAAGAAAAAAAAAUGUUUUCGCUCAUGUUCUGAGUAAAAAUCAGGCAUAAGCUUCCUAUUAAGUUAAUAUAACUUUUUCAAAUACUGUUAAUCAAAAACUUUCAGUAAGCAUUCUUUGAAUACCUACUGUGGCGAGGUGUUUAAGAUUCACAGAUGACUAAAAGUGUCUACCCUUGGGUUUCUCACAAGCUAGUAAAUGAUUUAAACAGCAAUAAAUAAUAAAUAUACAUAAUAAAUGCUCUAGGAACACAAUGAAAAGGGUGAUUAAUUCUGCCUGAGGGGGUGGAAGAGAUUGCAGAGGAGAAAACUUUGAUUUAUAACUAAAAGAUAAGUGGACUUAUUCCUUAAGGUAAAUAAUGCUAGCUGCUAUAAAAGAUGCACUCCCAAAUAUCAGUGACAUAAUGGUUGGCUUAUUUCUUAGUUACUGCACAGGUCAAUAGCCAAAGCAGAUCAGUUGUGGUGGAAGGUGACUUCCAGAGUGAUUCAGAGAUCUUAGGUUCCUCCCACUGAUACUUUACCUUCUGCCAGAUCUUUGGAUGAGAAUUUAUAUAGGUGAGAUCAAAAAGUAGCCCCCAGCACUUCCAAUUAUAUUCUGGAAUCCAGACAACAUGGUUACAUCUAACUGCAAUGGUGGUGAGAAAAUAUAUUGUAGCCAUGUGCCCCAGUACAAAAGGAGAACAUAGAUAUUAGAUAUUAGAAUACUGGUUACCUUGCUAUAAUGAAAUUAUUUUACAUUGGAAAUAGGUUUGGAUGGAAAUAUGAACUAAAAAGAAGAACACGAAGGAGUUUGAGAUGGAGGGAAUAUUCUCUUUUGGCUAGAGAGCACAGCAUGGUGUGCAUGGGCUGGUCAAUGGGAAAUAAUACUAGAAAGGUAGUUCAGAGAUGGAUUAUAAAAGACCUUGAAAACCUUACUGAGAAGUUUCUAUUAGUAUUAUAAUGCUUUACUGUUGCUUUAGUAUUAUAAGUAAAUAUUAAUUGACCAAUUUGCUUGGAGUCAGAGUCAGAGGAGAGGCAUUUAUGGUGGUUGGAUUUGAUGAUCUGUAUUUUUAAUUUAUUAUAAAUAUAUUUAUAAUUUAUUUUUGAAGUAGUUGUUACAUUUAUCAGUUCAAAUCUGAGUCAUUUUUUUUAAUAAAACCUUUUAAAAAUUUUAAGUCUCUUUCUUCAGAGUAAGAUUAUAAUAUUCCUUUUUUCUUUUUUUGGUACUGGAGAUUGGUUGAACCCAGAGGUGUUUUUAUUCUAUCUUUUAAAAUUUUUUUAGUUGUCAAUGGACCUUUAUUUUAUUUAUUUAUAUGUGGUGCUGAAGAUCAAACCCAGGGCCUCACACAUUCUAGGCAAGCACUCUACCACUGAGCCAUAACCCCAGCCCAUGCUUUUUAUUCUUUAUUUGGAAACAGGAUCUUACUAAGUUGCUUAGGGCCUUGCUAAGUUGCUGAUGCUAUCCUCAAACCUGUGAUCCUCCUGCCUCAGCUUCCUCAGUCACUGGGAUUACAGGCAGGCACCACCAUCCCAGGCUAAGAUUAUAAUCUUUGUGAAGGUAUGCAUCACCUUCAUACUUUAUUUCCCUUCAGUUUCCCUCAAAGCCGAGGUACAGAGGUACGCAGUCAGUGUUUAAUUAACAGCUGAUAUCUAAAUAUCAGCUAUAUAGCUAUUAUUUAAAUAGGAAUAAGAAGGGGUUGUGGUUGUAGCUCAGUGGUGGAGCACUUGCCUCGCAUGUGUGAGGCACUGGGUUCGAUCCUCAGCACCACAUAAAAAUAAAUAAAUAGGUGUAAGAAAGCAAUGUCACUAACCUAUGAAACUAGCUAAACAAUUCACUUCAUAUUAUUGUCUAAUCACUUAUGUUAAUUGCCUAUACACACAAGGCUUUGAAUUGGAUGUUGUAGUGAAAACAAAUCCUUUUUCUCUAGGUAUUUAGGAUUGCAAAUAAAUAAAAUCUAUGACUGUCCUGGAAAACAGUGAUAUUUAGGGGAAGACUCUAAUCAUUUUUGUAUUAGAAUGUGUUUGGUUUAAGUUAUUAUAAAACUAAAUGUCAUUUUAUGAUUCAAGAUAGAAAUCAUUUAAAAAUUCCUAAGAAUUUAGUCUCCUUAAAAAAAGAUUAAUGGAACUUUCAGAUGGAGGAAUAUGCAGGUGUUUGAUAAUAUUUGAAACCCAAAUCAGUAUAUUUUUAUUCCAUGUCAUGGUCCUUAGCUUCCAUUGUAUCUUAAAUUGAAACUUACAACUAUAAUAAAUUGUAAUGUCAAGCUUUUCCAUAGAUGGUAAUGUGGGUAACUAUUUCCUCUAUGAGCAUCAUUUUCAUUAGUGAUUUGUUGAAAAAUUAAGGGGCUACUUGUGAAUGACAAUCUGCUAUUCUUUAUGCAUGUCUAUUAGGUGGGUCUCUUGAAUCUGUGGCUUUCUUGCAUUAUUAAUAGGAACUCAUCAUGACUCUGUGCUUUGCUUUUAUUUGAAAUUGAAGCAGGGUUAUAGAAGUCACUUUAGAUUUCACUUCGCACCAUUGGAUCAUAAUACAGAUGUCAAGCUUUGUGAUACAUGUUGUCAGAACCUUCAUAUUAUGUGUGAAAUCUAAAAGCAAAAUUGCCAAGUUUCUAAACGAGGUAAAUUUAUAUGAAAUUUAAAUAUUUAUUUUAACUAAACAAACCCUGAAAUAUUUCUCACUGGGGCUAGGGAAAGCACCAUCUUAAAUCUAUAUUCUUAAUUAAUUCAAUCAUGGAGCAUCUGCCUAAGGACCUAUCAUUAAUACCAAGGAGAGGCUCUAUCUUUGUCCGUGAGGAGCUCACAGCUCUAGUGAAAGAAAACUCUAAGGAGGAUGUGGCUUUCAACCAGGUUAGAAUUUAGCUGAGCAAAGACUUCAGUAAUUGCUCCCUUGGCUCUACUCAGCUCUUCUCGAAGAAAGAAUCUAGCAUAUUCUUUUACCUUUAAUUUCUAAAGGGUGUGCACUAGGUUGGGGGGGUUGGGUGGGUACAGAAUGCAGAAGAGAGAAUAGUUUUCUAUUAUGGUGGUUACUUCUCUUCCACCUGCACUGUGAUCAUCUGUCAGCAUCCUCAGUUUCUCUAGUCAUUUGAGUCCUCUGUGCACCUUAGUUCUCGUAAUCUUCUCUUCUUCUUUUCCUCUCCUUUACAUGUCGAGCUGAUGAAGGAAAAAUUGCUCAGUGGUGGAAUAUAAAAUGCUGUUGAGGCAACCUCUCCAAUGUCCCAAAUUUAAGGUCUGAUAAUAAGAACUCUGGAGAGUUCCACAAACUGUAUCUAUAAUUCUUUCUCAGUUUCUCACUUGGAUAGUAUUUUUAUUUUAACUUAAAGCAUUCUUCUAAAAAAAAUCAAUGCUACCCUUCCAGAAGCAGACUACUAUAAUAAAUAUAUGAAGAUGAAAGAGAAUAAAGUUAUAGCAACCUUAGAAUAUUUUAGUCUUUAUUGGUUUAAAUCAAUCUUCCCAUUACUUUAGGAGAUGAAUUAUAGUUCAUUGCCUAUGCUGUUUUAAUGAUCACAUGUAAAAGAUUCAUUUUAAAUUCUCUUUGAUAUCUGCAGUUUUAUGACUUAACCCCUUUUUCACUAGCCUUUUGUUUACUCUAGGAAGCUAUUGCUGUUAGAAUGCCUCAUUUGAGACUGAUGUUAGAAUUGUUUUUUCUUUAAUGAUGUGAAUAUAUUUUGGCCCUUUGCUGUGAUUGGAUGGACAUAUUUUAUGUUAUUAUUCAUAAGCAGCUGUAUGCUCUUUGAACCGUGCAGAGAGUGUCAAACGGAGGUUGACCCCAUUGCUUCUGGGUACACUGGAUGGAACCAGCAGGUAUAGAGAAUGAGUGGCCUCCUUCCUCUGUGUGUGAGAUGACACUGGAGCUCAGCACCUGCAGGACCUGGCUUCCUCUCCUUAACACGCAGACGAAAGCUCUGGGUUCUUGGCUUUCCCUGACAGUUCAUAUGAACAGUUGGCCCCUCUCUGAGGCUGCCUGUCACUAAGCACUGACAAACUGCCUCCUGUACUGGAGAAUAAGGCCCUCUGCUGUGACUCAGACUCACUGCACAGCAGUAGACCCUGCCCAGUGCACUUCUCUGUGAAAUGAUAGAAGUACUGGGGACCUUUGGCUUCCAUAAAUUUUUCUACUGAAGCCCAUUUAACUCUCUCCAGGGUGUGUUGUAGAACAUGCCCCAAACCCUAGUGCUUGAUAGGUGGAAUUCACCUGGUGUGACAGCACUGGGCAAAGGAAAGAAGCCAGUGUAGUCACCCAUUAGAGAGAAGGAAAGGCCCGCAUGAAUCCUGCGAUAUGCGUUCCUAACGGGUACAGGGUGGAAGGAGUUGGCUCUAGUGUCUUGGAACUGAGUUGGUGGAGGUAGUGGAAUCAGUAUGGGAGGCCCUUCUGGUUCUUGGCUUACAAACUAAGAAGUAAGAAAUAAGAAGAGGAUGAGAAAGGGUAAUCUGUUGAUAUAAACUGCUUUUAUGUUAAUUAAUACCUACAUUAAGUAGAGAUAUAUUUCUCAGACAUCCAUGUAAACACAUGCAGUCCACCAUGACAGGGGCCCAUGCUCCUUCUAUCCUGUUGCUCUGUCACCCACAGGGCAUUUUCCUUACCCAUGAGGUCUCACCACUAUGAUAUCUACAUUUCAGCCAACAGGAAGGAUGAAGAGGGGGUACUUUCAGAAAAUGUUCACAUCAGUUCUGCUUAGAUUCCCCUUUGCAGGGACAGCUGGGAAAUGAAGUCAUCCCCACUUAUUCCCAGGUAGUAAACCUGCCAUAUUACCCUACAGUAAGUCCGACUACUAGAUACUGGCUGGAAGAAACAUUACAGUUUUACAAAAUCAACAUUUAAGAAGAACCAGUAAAACACAGCAGAAAAUAUAUAAAUUAUCUGCAGACAACUCAAUCAGAUAAUAGAAAACCCUUCUCAAUCAGAUAAUAGAAAAACCUUCAUGAGUUCACUUUUAGAUAAGCCAUUGCCUAAUAUCCAGCUGAGAAAAGGCAAGUGGUUUGGGUAAGCAAUAAGGUAAGGAUCAUAGAAAAUUCAGUUGGUUGCUUUCAUAAUAUGGAAAAGCAAGUGGAUUAAUAAAUGGUGUCAUCCAUUCAACUUUUAAUCUAUGCCUUGUAGAUACCAGAUAUUGUUUUUGUUCUGGAGUAGCUCCCAUUCUAAAGGUAGAUAAAUAUGUAAUUAGAAGAUUAUAAUGAAUAUAUCAGGUCAAAUUCGGGGUUCUAUAAAAUAAAAUAGAAUGGAAAGAAUAGAUACUAGUAUACAACUAUGAGUCUCUGAUAUAGUGGUAUGUUAAUUAAUUUACUCAACAAACAUUUUUAGUGUCUAGUUGAUUUUAUUCCUGCUUAGGGUGCUGUUGUCUGUCUGUCUGUCUAUCUAUCAAUCUAUUGAAGAGUCUGGGAUUUAUCCAUACAAGGUCUCUAAAGAUGGUCACCCUUGGGAAUGGAUGUAUUCCUCUACAGCACAGAUCUUUUGUAGAAUGAAAGUAUUAUUCUUGGUAUUUAAAAAAAUACUUUAAAAAUUGUAGUAGCAAACAAAUUAGAGUCUAGAGUAUGAAAAGACUUAGGAACAUCUGAAUCAGAAAAAAAAAAUCCUAAGAAAAGUUAAGACAAGAAAUAACAGAUAGUGGGCUAAGAGCUGGUUACUCAUCAUUGUAAUGGGAAGUUUUCUGCUCAACCAAGAUGCAAUUGGACAUAAGUCUCUCUGGAUCCUUAAAACACAUCCUAAGGCUGUUAAGUAUCUAAGCUGUUCUUCAAACAGCUUGUGUAUGGAGAACUCUAUAGGGGCCAUGUGAUAGAACUUUGGGAUUAGUGCUGUCUGCAUGGGGAGACGAAGGAAUGUGUGGCUACCAGUUAGUGAAAGAUAAAAGGUAUCCAGGCAAGAAUAAAUACCGUGGGAGAUGUGAGAUGUAGGGAUUACUAUGACCCUUAUUUUACAGAUGAGAAAACUGAGCCCAGAGAGUUAAUUCUGACUUCUAGGGUUGCACAGCGGUGUAUGGUGAUGCCAGGACUUGCUCCCAGGCUGUCCAGCUCUACAGUCUUCACACACAUAAUUAAUAUUGGUGGUUUAGAACUGUGAAGGUAUAUGAUAAGAAUGCAGGAUGAAAGCCACAUAUACGGGCUGGGGUUAUGGCUCAGAGAUAGAGUGCUUGCCUAGCAUGUUUGAGGCACUGGGUUCGAUCCUCAGCACCACAUAAAUAUAAAAUAAAGAUAUUGUGUCCACCUAUAUCUAAAAAAUAAAUAUUAAAAAUACUACAUAUACUUAGUAUACUUCCACAAAUACUUUAAAUCAUCUCUAUAAUCUUAUAAUACUCAAUACAGUGUAAAUGCUGUAUUAUGGAAGGAAUAAUGACCAGGAUAAAAAAAAAAGUCUGUUCAAUGCAGAUGCAGUUAUUUUUCAAAUAUUUUCAAUCUUUGGUUGGUUGAAUCUAUGAAUGAAGUUGCAGAGGGCUGACUGUAUACCUGAAUUUUUUAUUUGCUUACUCUCUGUUUUAUAAUUUUUGAACUUUUAUUGAAUGUGAAUUAUAGUCUGUUUUUUGUUCUCUUUGCAGUUAAACAAAAAUCAGAUAUUUCUUGAGUAUUAUUAAGCCAGACACUGGACUUUUCAUGUAGUCCUCAAGAAAGCCCUGGGGAAAAACUGGGAAGCACGUUGCAGGCAUUCUCCCAAUUUGUCAGAAGCAAAGAAAAGCAUGUAGGUGGAGAGCUGAAUGCCAACUUUCAGCCCAAGGACCAGAAGCCUUCCAUUUUUCCUGUUGGAUGUUCUUAACAUGUGGUUAUUACCUGGGCCCCCAACAGAGCUGCAGAGCUACAGCUACCUCAUCUAGGUCCCAAGGGAAGAAGAAGGUAAGAGGAAGAGUUACAUCCUAGCUAAGUCAGCCCUCUGUUUUAAGGAGCUUUCCCAGAAAUCCAUCCCAAAAUGUUCACUUUCAUCUUGUUAGCCAGAAUUUAGUCACAUAGAAAUAUGUAGUUAAAUCAUUUAGAAAUAUAUAGUUUAUCCACUGAGGAUAUUGCUAUUUCUCUAAAAUAUCAGUGUUCCACAUUAAGGAAGAAGGAGAGAAGGGACAUUGGUUUGUCUAUUACCAGUCUUUGCCACAAAUGAAAAUUUAAAAAAAAAAACUAUAAAUGGUAGAUUUAUGUUUUCUCCAUAUUGUAUUACUUUUUACCAUAAAUAUAGUUGUACCUCCUUACCUGUGGGUUUCACUUCUGUGGAGUCCACCAACAUGGAUUAAAACUAUUUGAUGAAAAAAACCUGCAUCUCUACCGAGUAUAUACAGACUUUUUUCUUGUCAUUAUUCUCUAAACAACCAUUUACAUAGCAUUUGCAUUUUAUUAAGUAUUAUUAAGUAAGCUAGAGAUGGUUUAAAGUAUAUGGAAUGACUAUGUCGGUUAUAGGAAAAUACUAUGCCAUUUUAUAUAAGGGACUGAAGCAUCUGAAGAUUUGGGUGUCUUAUGAAGAUCCUGGAACCAACCUUCAUGGAUACCAAGGAAGGACUGUGCUUAUUUAUUCAGUAUUUAAGUAAUCAGAAAGUUGUAAUUUUUUUCUUGUUGGGAGCAGAUUUACUCUUCAUCACGAUAGGAUCUAGGCCCAGCACAAUUCUUUUUUUUAAUAUUUAUUUUUCAGUUUUUGGUGGACACAACAUCUUUAUUUUACUUUUAUGUGGUGCUGAGGAUCAAACAUGCCAGCGAGCGCACUACCUCUUGAGCCACAUACCCAGCCCUCCAGCACAAUUUUUUAAGGACUCUUCUGAAUCAUCAAAUAUACCAUUAGAAAGUAUCAUUUUCAUGUGACUUUAAUGUAUUAACUUAUUUGAUAUUGGGCCAUUUGAUUAUGGUGCUUUGGAUACCAGCUAUAAGGAAUGUUUCUUAUCGACAUAUUUCUCAAUUUUUUGAAUUAAAGCAGAUUUCUUACAAACCUACAAUCUGGUACAGAUGUACUUGAAAUAUUAAGAGUCAGGUCCUUGACACAUCAUGUGUACUAAACAAAAUCAAUGAUGCCUUUAUUACUAGGCCACCACAGACCACUUAAUCCACUCAGUAUGAAGAAUUCUUUCAUGAUUUUUUUUAUUAUGGUAAAAUGUAUAUAUCCUGAAACUUUUCAUUUUAACCAUUUUCCAUGUACAGUUCAGAACCAUAACUGUCUUCCUAUUAUGCAUUGAUAUCAUGAGUACCCCAAAAGCUUCUAUGAAAGACAAUGCAAAAAUGGUCAGAGGUGAAUUGAUUAGAUUGUGGGAGGUAGGACCUAACUGGUGCAUUAAUCCACUUGAAUGAAUUGAGUGGUAACUGUAGGUGGGUUAUGUGUGGCUGGAGGAAUUAGUUCACUGGGGGUAUGCCUUUUGGGUUAAUAUUUUGUCCCUGGUAAAUAGAGCUUUGUCUCUGCUUCCUGGCUGUCAGGAGGUGAACAGCUUUCCUCUGCCACACCCUUUUGCCAUGUUUUUCUGCCUCACCUCAGGCCUAGAGCAACAUGGUUGGCCGACUAUGGGCUGAACCUCUGAAACCAUGAGCCAAAAUAAACUUCUUCCUCUAAUGUGUACUUGUGAGGUAUUUUGGCCACAGUGACAAAAAGCUGACUACCACAUGAUUGUUGUGCAACCCCUCAUGGUUUUAGAAUGUAUCUGUUAUGAUCUGUUUCUUUUCUUGCCUACCUUUGUACUUGACUCCAAAUAGUGCUCCAUCAAGGUGUGUUCUUGCAAAUGGAGUUUCGAUAGCUAGUACUCAUUUUCCAUAUUUAUUUGUAAUUCCAAUGACUAAACAAGCAGAUAUUUUGUAAAUCACCAUAAACUGGUCUAAUUGGACAAGACAUUCCUUAUCAGGGCAUGCUCCUACCCACAACAGUGCACAAGUGAUCUUAUGCAGUUCUCGCACCUUCAUCCCACAGUCCUUAAGAGUAAAUGUAAGACAUGUGAAUGCCAAAUGGCAAAAAUCACUUAUGUGACAUGAAUAAUUUAGUAUCACUUUUGAGUCCAAUGUGUUAGAAUACCAGUUUAAUGAUAGUCCAAAAGUGUUUCUCAAUUUUAAUCUUUUUAAAGGUGAUUAUAACAAAGACCUUGUUUCUUUUUCUACUUCAUUCUGUUUUGUUUUAAUCUAUGAAACGGAUUAUUUUCUUCUUUAGUUAUCCAACGGUUCUCCUUAAAAUAAUGAAAUCCAACAGUAGAGAAAAUACCUAAUGAGAGCCCCCCAAGAAGAAGCACAUGUCUAGGAGAGCCCUGGGCUCCACGUGGCUCCAGAGCUGGGAGAGGAGUCUCUCAAUCUCCCUCUGUUACUCAACCAACAAAGAUAUAAAUGAUUUUAAUUUUUAUGUUAAUAAUCAUGCUUUUGACACUUGCUAAGCAUCUUUUCUUUCCAAGAUUACAGAAUAUUCUAUUUUGAAAUAAUGCCAUUAACUUCUCAGUGACAGGCAGGGCAAUCAAAGGUAGGAGAAGAGGAGGUAGGUGGUGAGGAGGGGGUAAAGAGAGAGAGAGAGAGAAGUGGCCUCUAUCCCUGCAUCUCAGCCCAACUCAAUGCUGUCUUCUGGCACCUUGCCCUGCAUUACUGGCACAGGAAAUAGCACAUAUGAGACACAUCUCUUCUUUGUAGAUGACUGUACUUGCAUUCUUGGGUUAGUGUUCCAGUUAGGCUCUGGGUUAAGAAAAAGAAUAUUAUAGGUUAACAACUUGUGUCUUCUUUGUGUGACCUACUUUGAAAAAAAAUGAGUGUGUAAUUGACAUAUUUUUUAAAUUCAAGCUCUUUUGGAUAGAUAAUUAUGACUUGUAAACUCAGGAGAUGGCUAUUGAUCAUUAAGUUUGUAACAGAACUUGUAAUUUGAUCUUAAAUAAUAAUGCAUUUUGCAGUCAUUAUUUUUGUUCCUAGAAUGUUUCAGUAAACUGCAUACACACAAAUCCAAAUAUUUGCAAGCAUUUCUUUAUUUAAAAGCACUACUAGCCUUCAGUGAUGGAUGUUUUAUAGUAGAAAUUCUGAGUGGUAAAAGUGUAUAUGAUGUUAGGAAGUAUUUGUAUGUAUAAGAUAAAAAUCAUUUGUACAGGAUGAAUGUAUUAGAAAGUUGAUUAAAAUUAAAUUACUAAAAGUAUAAUAAUUUCGUAGUUCAUCCAGUCAUUCCACAACUAUCCAGUGAUUAUGACAUAUGAGUCUGCUUUAUACUAAAUGUGAUUAAUAGAGGAGAGUUUUCUGAAUAUGCUUUUAAUUAGGAUUAAAAGAUAUUGAUAAGAUAGAGAAGAAGUAUAAAAAUAAGGGAACGUGUGUAUCUAGUUAUCUCCAAAAUGUUUUCCUUAAGACAUGUGUACUAAAGCAGGGAUUAAUUCUUGAGUCUUAUAAUCAGUGAGGUUUAAACUUGUAUCCUGGCUCACUUUCUGUCAUGACCACCUUUCAAUUGUGUGAAAAUUACCCAUUUCAAGUUUCUAUUUUAUAAAUUGGAAAAUAUAAUUGAGCUUCUUUUUAGAUUUAGUUUUGAAAAAGGAGUUAGUUAAAUAAGUAACUUUAAGUGCAUAGCAUUGUGCAAGGCAUAUAGAAAGUAUUCACUUUUUGCUCACUGUCUUCAUAUUUUCACUAUGAAAAAGGCAUAUACUUUUAUUGGGAAAAACUUCCAAUAAUCUACAUUAUUAUGUAUAUUCAAAAUAUUUCAUAUGUAGUGAAAGAUUAAUAUCAAUAUGAUUUUUCUUAAUAUACUUAGAUAAAGUUAAAUAUGACAGGGCAAAAGAUAACAUGUGCCUCUCUGCAUCAAAUUUAGACCAUUGGUACUAGCAAUCAAGAUUACCAUGUUUUUGUAUGAAGAAAACCUAAUUAACCCACAAAUCAUUUUUAAUUGACCACUGAGUUGUUUUGGAUAAUGGUAGCAAUAACUUGGACUUAGCAUUUUAUGAGCACGAAUGAAGAAAGGAAGGAAGGAAGGAGGGAAGGGAGGGGCUUACAGAUGUUGCCUUAGUGUUUUAUAUAUGCUGGCAUUUUGUGGGUUAAUGCUAUUAAUGUUUUGUUUAGGUCUCAAAAUGAAAUGCUAUUGUUUUAUUUCUGUAAAGUUCAUGUCUCACUUGCCAUAGUGAUUUGGGGCAGGGUUGUUUCUUACCUGUAUGUUGCAGUCUCAAAACAAUAAGAAUUGAGGCAGAGGCUACUGGUCCCCAAUACCCAUUUUUCCCUUCUUUAAUAAAAGAACCACUAGUUGGUCUUCCUUUCCUUUCCUUUCCUUCCUUCCUUCCUUCCUUCCUUCCUUCCUUCCUUCCUUCCUGUCCCCCUACCCUCCCCUACCCUCCCCUACCCUUCUCUUCCCUAC